UACUUAACUGCGCACGUCCGUCAUUUGGACACAGAAAACCUCUUUGACAAAUGCCCCGUCAGUUCGGUCACGUUCGGUAAAAAUCGUUUCGCGUGUAAAAUGUAAAUUCGCAUUAUGUUACCGAUGCGCCCACUACAUCCGUUCAGUGCGCGACCGUAAUGUAAGCCGCGAUCGAAAAUUGUUGUUCGCACUCGGAACGCGACCGAGCCAUAAACCCGACGGACGCGGCGUGCUCGG